UACGGGGGGAGCAAGCGUUGUUCGGAUUUACUGGGCGUAAAGCGCGUGUAGGCGGCCCGGUAAGUCCGCUGUGAAAGUCGGGGGCUCAACCCUCGAAUGCCGGUGGAUACUGUCGGGCUAGAGUGCGGGAGAGGCGAGUGGAAUUCCUGGUGUAGCGGUGAAAUGCGCAGAUAUCAGGAGGAACACCAAUUGCGAAGGCAGCUCGCUGGAACGUAACUGACGCUGAGACGCGAAAGCGUGGGGAGCAAACAGG
rnacentral:rRNA from 1 species